GAAACUGAGAAUGCGCAGGCUCUGCACUUUCUCCGUCAUCACCUGUCACCUACUCUAAAAUAUGAGUAUAUGGCUGAGCGCAGUGCUUUUGGCCUUUGGACCGCUCUUAAGCAGCAGUUUGAGCGGUUGAAGUACACUGUGAAGCCACGUGCAGAGGCAGAGUGGAUCCGUCUGAGGUUUGUGGACUUCAAGACGAAGAUUGAGAAAACCCUAUCCACUUUCCACCCCAACGCUGUCUAGUCCUCAUGGAACUACCGCCAGGGGAACUACACGAGGUAUUUAGAGUUGAUUGACGUCCUCCAGGUGGCGGAGGCGCAGGAUGAGGUUCUCAAAAAGAAUUUUGUCGCGCAACCACUUGGGGGGUGUUCACGCCAGGAGGUGAACGCUCUCAAAGUCCGCAAGCCUCAACAGAAGAAGAGGGGACACAAGGCGGCUAAGCAGGACAAGCCGGGCAAGGGAGGGCAGAGGCCUCAGGACUGCUUCCGUUGUGGCUCGGUGGAGCAUUUCUCCCGCCAGUGCCGCGCACCAUCGGAGGUCGUUGAAGCAUACAAGGCUCGGAAGGCGCGUGAGACGCACCUCGCCUUGGUUCAGGAGGGAGCACCACGACCCAUGGCGGCACCCGUGAUGGUCGCUACGCCCCCUACUGCGCCCAUAGAGGCGACCCCCGUGGUGCCCAUCACGACAGCUUUGGCGGUCUCUACCGACGCCCACGUCGCCAUGGAGGUUGACCGCAUGGUCGCCUCGGUGGCGCCGCCACUAGACAUUGAUGCUGCCUCCAAGAUGAUUUCUAAGGAGGAUAAGCUCACUAGUAUGGAGAUUGUGGCGGACUUGAAUGGCUUCUUAACCGAGUCCACUUAG
rnacentral:rRNA from 1 species